GAUGAACGCUGGCGGCGUGCCUAAUACAUGCAAGUCGAGCGAACAGACCAGGAGCUUGCUCCUCUGACGUUAGCGGCGCACGUGUGUGUAACACGUGGAUAACCUACCUUUCAGCCUGGUAUAACUUCGGGACACCGUCGCUUAUACCGGAUAAUAUAUUCAACCGCAUGGUUCUAUAGUGCAAUACCGUUUUGCUGUCACUUAUCGAUCUAUCCGCUCCGCAUUAGCUAGUUGGUAAGGUAACGGCUUACCAAGGCAACGAGGCGUAGCCGACCUGAGAGGGGGAGCGGCCACACGAGAACUGAGACACGGUCCAGAAUCCUAAGGGAGGCAGCAGUAGGGAAUCUUCCGGAAUGGGCGAAAGCCUGACGGAGCAACGAAGCGUGAGGGAGGAAGGUCUUCGGAUAGAAAAACGCUGUUAGGAGGGAAGAACAAAUGUGUAAGGACCUAGGCUCGUCGUGACGGUACAUAAUCAGAAAGCCACGGCUAACUACGUG
rnacentral:rRNA from 1 species